rnacentral:lncRNA from 1 species
GAAAUAAAUAAAUAAAACAAUAACCUCCGCGCCAAUAAGAACGAGGGAGAGAGAAAGCGAAGGACAGAGAGAGACACCGGCUCCAGUUCGCUCGGCUAGGAGAGGUGCUCCUUUGGCGCGCGGCGCGCGCGCGUGUAUGUGUGUGUGUGUGUAUGUGUGUGUGUGUGGGUGUGCGUAUGUAUGCAUGUGUGUGCGUGCGUGUAUGUAUUCGCCCCGACUGAAACUGUAAAGUUCACACCAGACGUGUUGCUCUCUCCGGUUGCCCGGGGCUGCGGCUGAGGUCGUCCCAACUUCACUUGCCCAAGUGACUGUGUGCCUUGCCCAGCGCCUCCCGUGGUGCUGCUGCUGCUGCUGCUGCUGCUGCUGCUGCGGCGGCGGCGGCAGCUGCUGCCCGCCCCUCCGGCCAGCAGUGGCAACGGCGGCGUAGACUGCCGCCUCCUCCUCCCAGCACACCUUGGAGCGCGAGGGAGGCUGGUUUGUAAGGGGGCUUCCCUGCCAACCCCAGCACUAGCAACUGCACCUGCCCACCACAUUCCAGCCACUUCCCCCCGGGCGGUGCCUGGAGCCGGCAGAAAGACAACUAUUGUGAGGACAGAGUGUGGAGAGAGGAAAUAAUAAGUGAACAAUUGCCCUCUGAAUUUUCUCCGGACAUGUAGAAUGUUCCUGCUGAAACACUAAGACAACUUCGAGAAGCAGCUCACUGUAAGUGCUUAUGUAAAAUGAGAAAUAAUUUUUAUUUUAUUCUGAUACUUGAUGAUUUGAGACAGAGUCCACUCCUGUGGCACUUGAAAAUAACAGCAACAGUUAUGGUAGGAGACAGGAGACACUUGAAGAUUUCUGAGUCAUAAAUUACAGGAAGAAAAGAUACUUAAAGGGCUUAUUUGCAAACUGCUGGAUUUUGCCUUCUAUAAAGGAUACCCAAAAGUCUUAGUGUAUUUUAAGCCAUUAAACAUAUUAGCUUCAUUUUGCCAAGGCUUCACAUUGCACUAAAAACUUCUGGGAUACCUCAUCUUACAUUUUCUGAUAAAAAUGCAUAGAUAUGAAAAAUGAUUAUGAUCAAAUUGGGGUGAAUACCAUUGCUUACCACAAUAAUUACUUGCAAAAUGAGUUAUUUUUAUGUAAUACAUGGUAACAUUCUAAUGUACAUCUGAAAAUAAUUUAAGUAGCAUGAAAAUCCCUGUGAGAGGCUUCGUGUACAUAAUCAAAGUUCUCU